GAGGGUAUAGCUCAGUGGUAGAGCGCGUGCUUAGCAUGCACGAGGUCCUGGGUUCCAUCCCCAGUACCUCCA
rnacentral:tRNA from 1 species